rnacentral:lncRNA from 1 species
AUUAGAAUAGAGUUGUCUGUGAUGGUGGAGAUUGGCUGAAAAGGGGCUCAAGGGAUCUUUCUGGUUGGUGGAAAUAUCCUGUCUUGAUUGGAGCUUUAGUUAUGCAGAACAGAGUUUUCAACAGACUGACGCUCCCUUAAAGUUCAUUUUAGUCGAGUAAGUCAUCUGAAUCAUAACUGGAAAUGCGUCUAAGCUACUGCCCAUAUCUCUGUGAUAUACUUCAAAAUAACCUUGGUUUGAAUUAAGCUUGCAGAUAAAUGAUCCUUGACUAACAUAGAUCUCAAAAGUAUGAAAAGCUUUUGCUUGGGAAUGCCUGCAUGAAGAGACUAUGAAGGACAAAAAUAUCUUAAUAUGGAGCAGAAAUCUUAAAGGAAGAAAUCCAUGGUUAAGAAGACAACUUGUCACUAUUCUCUAAAAUUUGAGCAUUUAAAUGACAAAGCAACAACAUAGUGA